ACUGUUUCAUGAUGGCUCAGAUUGAACGCUGGCGGCAGGCUUAACACAUGCAAGUCGAGCGGAAACGAGAAUAGCUUGCUAUUCGGCGUCGAGCGGCGGACGGGUGAGUAAUGCUUGGGAAUAUGCCUUAUGGUGGGGGACAACAGUUGGAAACGACUGCUAAUACCGCAUAACGUCUACGGACCAAAGGGGGGGAUCUUCGGACCUCUCGCCAUUUGAUUAGCCCAAGUGAGAUUAGCUAGUUGGUAAGGUAAUGGCUUACCAAGGCGACGAUCUCUAGCUGGUUUGAGAGGAUGAUCAGCCACACUGGGACUGAAACACGGCCCAAACUCCUACGGGAGGCAGCAGUGGGGAAUAUUGCACAAUGGGCGAAAGCCUGAUGCAGCCAUGCCGCGUGUGUGAAGAAGGCCUUCGGGUUGUAAAGCACUUUCAGCGAGGAGGAAAGGUUAGUACUUAAUAACUGCUAGCUGUGACGUUACUCGCAGAAGAAGCACCGGCUAACUUCGUGCCAGCAGCCGCGGUAAUACUAGGGGUGCAAGCGUUAAUCGGAAUUACUGGUCGUAAAGCGUGCGUAGGUGGUUUGUUAAUCACGAUGUGAAAGCCCUGGGCUCAA
rnacentral:rRNA from 1 species